rnacentral:rRNA from 1 species
UACGUAGGGUGCAAGCGUUGUCCGGAAUUAUUGGGCGUAAAGAGCUCGUAGGCGGUCUGUCGCGUCGGCUGUGAAAACUCGGGGCUCAACUCCGGGCCUGCAGCCGAUACGGGCAAGCUAGAAUUCGGUAGGGGAGACUGGAAUUCCUGGUGUAGCGGUGAAAUGCGCAGAUAUCAGGAGGAACACCGGUGGCGAAGGCGGGUCUCUGGGCCGAUAUUGACGCUGAGGAGCGAAAGCGUGGGGAGCGAACAGG